rnacentral:lncRNA from 1 species
CAACUACGUACUCAUCCCUUCCAAGAGAAGCAAGAAGAAUAUACUCGUGUUUCGAGGGUAUACUUUCUCUCAAAAUCGUUCCUCGGGAAACUGGUACUGCUCCAAACAGCACAUGGGAUGUAAAGCCAAGAUUCAUCUGGAUUCUAAUGGAAUGGGCGUACGAUACAACGUGGACCACAUACAUGACCCGCCUCUAAUAGCGGAUAAUGGGGAUUAUUGCAGCGGUUAAUAAAUCGAAGCUGAAUGUGCUAUGUAUGGGAAUAAUAUGUUGUCAAAAAUCGUGAAGGCUUAUGCACCAAAAUAUCAAACCUUUUUUAUUUGAAAAAUAAUGGGAAAAAAUGUGUUACCGCGAGUUAGAACAGUAAAAAAAGUGUAGCGUUAACGGUAACUGUUGCGUUCUUUUGCGGCUUUUAUUCGCAUGAUAAAAUAUUUCCUCUACAUUCGAUACUAAUUACGAUAAUAUAUAAUUUUGAAUAAAUCAAUAAUAAACUGUCACAUACAUUAUUGUUAACUCCAAUUUCGUUGAUUAAGCUAUAAAAUGUUUCUAUUUUGAACAAACUUGUCCUAGUGUAUGUAUCCGAUUAUUUAAAACAUGUCACAAAAAUGGUAUGUUCUGAUCUACACUGGCGACCAGAGUUCGACGUCUAUAUACGUACUGUGAAGUCAUUCCAUUUUAGCAAGUUAUGUUUGGUUACUAUUUAAAAAUUUUGAUAAUAUUGUCAAAUAAUCCCUUGAAAAAGGGUCGUAUAAGUAUAACGAAAUGAAUUAUUAGCCGCAGUGUAUAUCGGAACGCAUCCUAAGUUUUCAUAAUAUGACAGACGACAGUUAACAUUUGACAGUUGAAAUUGAGGUUAUGUAAAUAAAACAACAAACAAUAUACGUGAUUUAAACCGUAUUUCCAUAUAAAAUUAAGAUAUUGUUUACUUUUAUCUAGUGUUGAAAAAAUAUUAAUAUUUUUUGUGCUUUACAUGUGAUUGCAAAAAUGUAUAUCCAUAAGUAACCUGUGUCAUACACAUAUUCACGAUUUGUAGUGUUCUUGGUGUUAUUUAAAAUUGAUUUUUUAAUAGCUAUUAAUAAAUAAAAAAACUGCUUUUAGUAAUAUCGUAAAUGUGCGUAAUAAGUGUGAAUUUUAUGUAAAACUAUAGUGUUACUUAGAAAAAAAAUAUUUACAAUUCACCAAAAACUAUGUGACUGAAAUGAAGAAAGAAUUUAACGACAAAUUAGAUAAAUUAAUGAGUCGUAAGAACAAUAGCGUUUAUUUCAUGAAUGCAAGCCGUUAUCAAGAGUUUAUAAGAGAAACUACGGAAGUCAAGAAUAAACGUGAUAAAAACUACGAGGAUUAUAAAUUCCUUGCGAAUUAUGACAUUUUGAAUGUCAAUGGGGUAAAGAGGCUCAUACAGCCGAAAGGGGAGACGGAUAGCAUAAAGUUUUAUGUUAACGCCAAUGAACUGUUCGGCGUGUUACAUACAAUGCAUAUAAUAUACGAUCAUGCGGAUAGAGAUGUGAUGGAAGCUCAAAUUAAGACCAAAUACUGUAACGUGUCUAAGGAAGUUAUAAGGAUAUAUUUGUUGUGCUGUAAACGAUGCAAUGGAGGACGCAAA